rnacentral:lncRNA from 1 species
AAUUUUCGGAUUUUUAUGUCAAAACACACUGAAACACUCCAAAACAGCUUAAAAAAUACUUAAAACAGCAAGGAACAACACUAGAAGUAAUGGGUGAUAAUUUUCUACGAAUUUUAUGCAAAACACUAGUUACCCCCCCACACUUAAAUCAAACAUUGUCCUCAAUGUUUCAAGCAUAUACUCACACAAAAACAAGCAAAUAACAAAUGACAAAUAAACAUGACAAAUAUGGCAAAGUAAAAACCAGACAGAGUAGAGUUUAAGAACGCAAAUCUGGUUUUGGAGAUAGUUGAUCUUGUUGACUUUCCACAGCUUUGAUCUUGAACUGGAUUGGAAUUGUACAGCGAAGCUUUGCUAUUUGAUGAUGUUGCAGUUCCUUAUUUGUUCUCCAAGCAGAUGUGGUAGCUUCUUUAGUUUUUCAUCUCAGACUCCUUGUGCUGGGUUGAUUGUGCAAGCUGCAUUCUUCUCUGCUUGUUUCUUCUGCAUGACGGGCGGGCACGAGGUAAAGGUGUUGGUCUGUUUCUUUCUUCAAUCUUUCCAAGUUCCCACCUCUUGCUUUCUUUCUCCUUGUCCCUAGUUGAGGAUGAAUCAGCACGUU